GGGUGGAUUAGUGGCGAACGGGUGAGUAACACGUGAGUAACCUGCCCCUGACUCUGGGAUAAGCGUUGGAAACGACGUCUAAUACUGGAUAUGAUCACUGGCCGCAUGGUCUGGUGGUGGAAAGAUUUUUUGGUUGGGGAUGGACUCGCGGCCUAUCAGCUUGUUGGUGAGGUAAUGGCUCACCAAGGCGACGACGGGUAGCCGGCCUGAGAGGGUGACCGGCCACACUGGGACUGAGACACGGCCCAGACUCCUACGGGAGGCAGCAGUGGGGAAUAUUGCACAAUGGGCGAAAGCCUGAUGCAGCAACGCCGCGUGAGGGAUGACGGCCUUCGGGUUGUAAACCUCUUUUAGUAGGGAAGAAGCGAAAGUGACGGUACCUGCAGAAAAAGCACCGGCUAACUACGUGCCAGCAGCCGCGGUAAUACGUAGGGUGCAAGCGUUGUCCGGAAUUAUUGGGCGUAAAGAGCUCGUAGGCGGUUUGUCGCGUCUGCUGUGAAAUCCCGAGGCUCAACCUCGGGCUUGCAGUGGGUACGGGCAGACUAGAGUGCGGUAGGGGAGAUUGGAAU
rnacentral:rRNA from 1 species